GUGUGUGUGUGUGUGUGUGUGUGUGUGUGUGUCCCAGGAAUUGAACUCAGGUUGCCAGACUUGGCAGUCAGUGCCUUUACCCUCUUAACUACCUCACCAGCCCCAAUUGAAUUUAGCUAAAGCUCUAGGAAAGAUGGAGAGGGGUGGGGAACAGGUGUGAGCAGAAGCCCUAGGAACAGGAACUGUAGCACACAGUCACCUACAGGAGUGGCUUGGUAAAGACACCAGUGGCUAUAGACAUUGUAGCUAUUCCCAGCCCAUACCCUGGACACUGCCGCUGACACUGCCGCAGCUUACUGAUGACUGUGAACAGAGUGGUGGUUGUACUGUUGAAGCAAGAAGAGAAAACUGGCUGGACGGAGUGUAGGACAGAAGAGUUCCCGGGCAUACUUCAUACAUCACCUGCUGUGAAUGCUAACAAGAAUAUGAAUGCGUUCGAUUCAGUUGAAAAUCACUAUUGGCUCUCCACUCCCUCAGCCUGAUUUCUCUGGGAGCUGCUCUGGUUUCUUCAGACUGGUGACCGUGGAGUUCUAUUAGACUUUGCUGGUUCAUCCUGAUUGGAGGCCCUCAGUCAGGAGAAAGGGUAGCAACAACUCUAUAAGCAUUAAAACCAACGCUCAACGCACUGCACAGCACUCUAGAAGCUUCCGUCAAAUGAUCGUGGAAAAGAUCUGAAUGAUCUAGAAUUGAAGUCAGAGCGUUCAUGCCCUGGUACCUGCAGCCCUGGUGGGAAGACACUGCUGUCUGUGGACUUGCUUUAUCCGGGUGGCCCUGGCUCUACCCUAGGAGCACGACUUGAAUCAUUAUUGCCAGAAUAAUCUUCUUCAGGUAAUAAAAACCCAGCUUGCUCAGCCUUCAUGUGGGCUCCACAACAACUGGAGCGUGGCUGUGUCUAUAGCUGGUGCUUGUCUGUGGAAUUUAUUCCCCUAACUGGGCUGCCUUGUCUGGCUUCAGUGGGAAAGGAUGUGCCUAGCCUGACAGAGGCUUGAUGGAUCAGGGCGGGAGGUGCCCAGAAGGAGCUCCAGUCUCUCAGAGGAGACGGGACUCUGUGAGGGGGUAACCGGAAGUAGAUUGGGAUAGCAACUGGCAUGUAAAGUGAAUGAAUGAAUGAAUUAAUUAAUUAAUGGGGGGGAAACCUCACUCUGUCUGUUGAAUCCCUUUUGCAGGUAGACUCAGAAUCUUGUCUUUUGACAGACACCUCGUUGAGGUCAUCUUUUGGGGCUGGAGCUAACGUGGGAGUUCUUGUCGACCUCAUUAUUGGAGAGCUGAGACUCAUCGACACAGUUAGACCUGCUACUCAAUCUCAAACACCCUCAGUCCUGUCCGUCAAACUAUGAACCGGGCACAUCCAACUCCAUUCUUGCUUUUGACUGGAAAUGAAAAGAUCAAGACAAAGCUUCUAACAGGAAACGAAAACAACCUAAUUUUAUCAAAACAGAAGCAAUGAUUCCCUGGAAGAGUGAGCAGGCCCUAAAAAAGACGCACACAUCUUAUAGAACACACACGUGUUAAGUAUGCAUAUGUCUUACUUCAGACAGACCACUAAUAGAUGCCAGGCCUUGUUUACUUUUUGUUAAGCCAGCAGAGAUAAUUAUUUUCUCAAUGAAAUUUAAAGUGUUCUCAUAGCAUAACUGGAAGCCAAGACAGUAUACUUCUAUGUCUUCCCUUGCCAGCUACAGUUGACUUGAUCAUAUAGUGCACAACAUAUAGGAAGAAAAUCACAACCCAUAUUGUCCUUACCAUCCUUCCUAAGGUGCUCCUUCUAAGUGCUCCCAACCUGAACUCUCACCUCCAUUUCUAACCCCCUGCCUCCUUGUGCCCUCAGGAGAAGGAGCUGUAGUUUCAGCUUAUUUGAGAACAGCAGACUGACUACUUGGAGGCCGUCUUCCUUUUCAUUAGUGAGCUUCUGGUGGCUGGGGAUGGAUUUGAACCCUCCAAAGAGAGCCAAUAGGCAUCUAUGUAUUGGCCUGAGGAUGAGGACAAGGAAAUAUUAGGAAACAGGAGACCUGGGGACAGCAUGGCUAGCCACCCACUGUGGAAGAGAGCCUCGCUAGGGAUGCUGCUCAGCUGCAAGCAAACAGGAGGACAGCAGGACGCCGCAGGAUCAGACAUAUCAGAUGGAUUCACCCAGGCUCCUGAGUACCAACUUUCAGUGUGGCUUUGAUCAGGCAGCCCGUUUUUCAGCCUUCUGAAGUAGUAGUACAAUAUUCUGGGAAAUAUAACCCCAGGAAAUAGAUUAAUGACCAGUCUGAAUACAUUCUGUAAAUUGUUCCAGUUGAUCAAAUGAUGACUCCAGAAAUGUUUAAGAAAAAAAAAACCCUACAAUUUUGAGCCUGGCAUGGUGGUAACCUUGUGUUUCCAGUCCCAGGGAGGCUGAAGCAGGGAGAUUGUUAGUUUGAGGCCAACCUGGACUACCCAGUAAGACUCUGGAUCAAAUAAGCAAAACACUCAAAUUUGGUAUCACACAUAUACAAAAUGGCUUGUCUUGAAAUCCACAUUAACACAUGGUAAGACUCAGCCAUGUUCUGCAUUGUCCGUUAGCUAUGUGAUGUGUGCAUGGUGAAGCCAUGUAGAGAAAUCAGUGUCCACACAUUCACAUCUCUGUGGAUCCUGGGAGCCAUGGCAUUGCCACUGAACACUGAAGCCAGAAGCUCUACCUUCCCAUGACUUUUCCCUGUCUUUUCUCCUACACAGCCAUGGGCUAGCUCAGAGCCUGCAGACAGAUGCUACCCAGUGCCUGAGCUGCUCACACAGAAGUUCUAGGGAUCAAGCUGCAUACACAUUACAUCUGAUAGGCUGAGCACUGGAGAAGAGGAGGAAAUGCAGCCCACCUAAGGAUCCUGUCAUCCGAUGCUCAAUGGUCCACCUCUCAGAGGUCCCUAUUCUUGAUCAAUUCAGUACCAUGUCCCUAACUGGGAAGUCCCUGAAUACUGAACACCAAACACCAGGGCUGCCAGGCCUUUAUAUCCCAAUGCCGUGCUACAUCCUCAUCUGCAGUAUGGUUAACCUGCAUCGAAUGGUUCCUUGCAUCGAAGAGACAAGCAGGCCAGAAGAGGUGAACAGGCCAUCGUCUCUCUACAGCUUCUGAGGAGGAUCCUUCCUCAUCCCUUCCUAGCACCUGGGUUUUGAUCAUCAGCCUUGGUUUGUGCUUGCAUCCUCCAGUCCCUGCUCUGUGGUGCCAAAACUUCCUUCUGGGUUUCUCUGUGUGUUCUUUUUCUGUCACGUGGACACUUUCAUUGAGCCUGGAACUCACCCUUUAACAACAUUUUAGAACGAACUAUUCACCAAUAAGCUCGUAUCCUGAGGUUCCAGGCAAAUAUGGACCCAGUCCAGGUCUCAGCAUUUUUGUUCUGUGAAGCCUAACCUUGACAAUAGGAUUUGCAAAGAUGUGUGUCUCUGAACAGGGUGAAGAUGGUGGCUGCUGCUUCGAGAACCUCCCUCCCUCCUUACCUCUUGGUUGAAGGCAUUCCCCUUACCCAAACUAAUUUGACUCAAUCUUCAAGACUCUGUCCUCUGGGGAAGGGGAAAGGUGUCCAGGGACUUUUCUCUAGCAGUCAAGGAGAAGCUGACACACAUUUGAGUCAUCUGGCUUCAGAAUAAGAGAGGCCCUCACAAAAGCCAUCUGUCCCAAGAAUUAGGAGUGGUUGGGAGAGAGAGUAUGUCAAAUUAAAUAAAUUCCCUGAGAGACUGCUGCUGCUUGCAGUCUUCAGGUGCUAUGCUUCUGUUUCAAACCGUGA
rnacentral:sRNA from 1 species